UUGUCGUCAGCUCGUGUCGUGAGAUGUUGGGUUAAGUCCCGCAACGAGCGCAACCCCUAUCCUUAGUUGCCAGCAUUCAGUUGGGCACUCUAGGGAGACUGCCGGUGACAAACCGGAGGAAGGUGGGGAUGACGUCAAAUCAUCAUGCCCCUUAUGAGUUGGGCUACACACGUGCUACAAUGGACGGUACAAAGGGCAGCGAGACCGCGAGGUGGAGCCAAUCCCAUAAAGCCGUUCCCAGUUCGGAUUGCAGGCUGCAACUCGCCUGCAUGAAGUCGGAAUCGCUAGUAAUCGCAGGUCAGCAUACUGCGGUGAAUACGUUCCCGGGUCUUGUACACACCGCCCGUCACACCACGAGAGUUUGCAACACCCGAAGCCGGUGAGGUAACCGCAAGGAGCCAGCCGUCGAAGGUGGGGUAGAUGAUUGGGGUGAAGUCGUAACAAGGUAGCCGUAUCGGAAGGUGCGGCUGGAUCACCUCCUUU
rnacentral:rRNA from 1 species